rnacentral:rRNA from 1 species
AUGGCUCAGAUUGAACGCUGGCGGCGUGCUUAACACAUAGCAAGUCGCGCGUGAAAGGACUUCGGUCCGAGUAAAGCGGCGCACGGGUGAGUAACGCGUGGAUGAUCUACCCAUGAGUUGGGAAUAACGGCUGGAAACGGUCGCUAAUACCGAAUACGCUCCGAUUUCAACUUCGGGGGAAAGGUGGCCUCUGCUUGCAAGCUACUGCUCAUGGAUGAGUCCGCGUCCCAUUAGCUAGUUGGUGGGGUAACGGCCCACCAAGGCGACGAUGGGUAGCCGGUCUGAGAGGAUGACCGGCCACACUGGGACUGGAACACGGCCCAGACUCCUACGGGAGGCAGCAGUGGGGAAUAUUGCGCAAUGGGCGAAAGCCUGACGCAGCGACGCCGCGUGAAGGGGAUGAAGGUCCUCGGAUCGUAAACCUCUGUCAGGAGGGAAGAACCGCCACGGUGCUAAUCAGCCGUGGUCUGACGGUACCUCCAAAGGAAGCACCGGCUAACUCCGUGCCAGCAGCGGC